GGAGGUGUCCACUGCGAGCAGGAAGGAGAUCUGUCCCAUCCCGAUGACUUCGAGGGCUGUAGUGGUGGCCGUGCCGCCUCCUGGGGUCUGGGGUUUGCUGGGUGACAGUUUUGCUUCGUCCCUGAGGGUCUCGGGGACGAAGAGGCUGGAAGCAGAGCCGGGGGUGGAGAAGCAGAGGCCUCACCACCAUCAGGCCGGCAGUUACGGCCCCUUCCUUCAACAACCGAAAAACCCACGUGCAGAGCUGCGAGGGAGGGGAAGGAGGAUCCUCAUCCUGCUUGUUGCACGUGUGCACAUCUGGAUUUUCACCUGGGGGUCUGCCAUGAGGCUAAAUAAACCUCACAAAUGAAGACAUCCCAAUUAUGCUCCCACCCGGGUCACGCCACCUUGUCCUGCUUGCUCUGCCAGAGAUCAUCCAGAAGUGCAACCAGGAUCACAAUUUAUGGUUUUCGAGGAGAUCCACUUUUCCCAGCGAAUGUAUGGGUGAGGCUGGAGACAGGGACAGGCGUCCCCUGGGGGAAGGGAAGGGGAGUGAGAGCUGGCUGCAAUUCCUGCCUGCCUCUCCUCCCUCCUUAGGGAGGGGAUGGUCCCAUUUCAGCAAUUAAGGGGAAUUAGUAGUUGCAGAUGGCUUUUAGAGGGGUGGAACAGAUCCCGAACCCUGAGGUGUGUCUAGUUUGGGGGGCUUGUGGUUGGGGGGAGGUGGAUCCAAACACCAGGCUUUUGCCAGAUCCGAGGCCAACUGGCUUUUCAAAUCUGCAGAAUAAAAGCUUCUUUUGCUGAGAAGUGGAGUAUGUU
rnacentral:lncRNA from 1 species